CACGUAGGGUGCGAGCGUUGUCCGGAAUUAUUGGGCGUAAAGAGCUCGUAGGCGGUGUGUCGCGUCGGCCGUGAAAACCUGCAGCUUAACUGUGGGCUUGCAGCUGAUACGGGCAGGCUGGAGUUCGGUAGGGGAGACUGGAAUUCCUGGUGUAGCGGUGAAAUGCGCAGAUAUCAGGAAGAACACCAGUGGCGAAGGCGGUGCUCUGGGCCGGAACUGACGCUGAGGAGCGAAAAGCGUGGGGGAGCAAACAGG
rnacentral:rRNA from 1 species